rnacentral:rRNA from 1 species
GACGAACGCUGGCGGCGUGCUUAACACAUGCAAGUCGAACGGAAAGGCCCUGCUUUUGUGGGGUGCUCGAGUGGCGAACGGGUGAGUAACACGUGAGUAACCUGCCCUUGACUUUGGGAUAACUUCAGGAAACUGGGGCUAAUACCGGCUAGGAGCUCCUGCUGCAUGGUGGGGGUUGGAAAGUUUCGGCGGUUGGGGAUGGACUCGCGGCUUAUCAGCUUGUUGGUGGGGUAGUGGCUUACCAAGGCUUUGCCGGGUAGCCGGCCUGAGAGGGUGACCGGCCACAUUGGGACUGAGAUACGGCCCAGACUCCUACGGGAGGCAGCAGUGGGGAAUAUUGCACAAUGGGCGGAAGCCUGAUGCAGCAACGCCGCGUGCGGGAUGACGGCCUUCGGGUUGUAAACCGCUUUCGCCUGUGACGAAGCGUGAGUGACGGUAAUGGGUAAAGAAGCACCGGCUAACUACGUG